CAGAGAGAGAAACAAGACAUAAUAAAGGUACUUAUGGGUAGAAACAAUUACUUGUUGGUUGAUAGUUGUUAAAGAAUUCAUUUGUUAAAUCCAUGAAUAAAUAUGCUGUCCUUUGAAACAAUAAACAACAUUUCUCGUAAGCAAUGCUGACACCUGGUGGAGCAGAAGUUCAAGUGACUGCAGUACUGUGUACAUAUAGUCUAUGUACUGUAGUAUGCACAAUGUGUAUAUGAAUGAGCCAAAGUCAUUCAAAGAACUAAAAAUACUUUGAGGUCCUAGAUAAACAGUAGAAACAUAAAGAAGCAAUAUUUUUCCAGUUGUUUUAUUUUGUCCGCAUUGUUUCCUCUAUUCUGCAAAACAUAAAAGAUACAAGCAUAAUAGCAUGAAGUGUACACCACAUUAAACUGUUCUGUUUUGGUAAAUGAAUCAAAUUUUGUAAUCUAAGUUGACUUCUGUUUUCACCUUUUCAUUAUGCAGUGCCAUAAAGUUAUAUCUGAUACAGUUCAGCAAAUGGUGACAUUUACAAAAUUGUAGUGUUGGGGGCAGAAAGACACUUGGGGGUGUCCCUCAGAAUGCCUUAAGAGGGAAGCACAUGGCGGGAUCCCCCGUAAUGCCUCUCUGGGUGACAUGUAUUUGGUUCAGGGUUGGUGGGGUUGGGUGCUGGGUGUGUCCUGUGUUUGGUCUGUGUGUGGCAAAUAAAAAUCUUGAAUCCUUGAAUCUCUGUUGUUGCAAGUUUGAAUGAAUCAUUUUAGAAAAACAUUUGCAUGUUUUAGUUUCCUUUUUGAUUUUGUCACUUCAGACUAAAAUGUCCUAGCAGGUAACUGCAGAGUCCUAGUCUAUUCUGAUGAUGAUUUUAUGUUGAUUUGUACAUCCAUCCAUCCAUCCAUCAUCUAUACCGCUUAUCCUUGUGUAAAAUUUCAAACUAAUUCUGUCAGAUAUGAGCAAGAUCAUAACAUACUGAGAGGGGGCAAUUAUAGGUUUAUACAUUAUAUAGAGAUACCUUUCUAAUACAUUUAUCUCUUCUGUUCCAUAAAGGUUUCAUUAGUGGCACUAGUUUCAUUUAGUACAAAUGGAGAGAGUGAUUAAGUAGUGUGAUAAAUUUAAGUAUCAUGUUUCCUAUGAUUCAUAGUACUUACGUUGAUCUAGUCUGUACACAUGACAUCGAUUGCUCUUUGGAUUUUGUGGACAAAAACUGUAAAAAAAAAAAAAAAAUCAAAAAGGCAUGGUACUUGUGAAUUUGAAUGUAAGACAUUUUUAGGGUUUUCAGUGACAUUUGAAUAUCCCCAAGCAUUUUCAGUGUUAGGCGUACUCUAACUGAACGUAUAACAGAGCAUUACUUAGCUAUCGCCCACUGCACUGAACAUACUGAGCAUGGUUUUCUGCACUAACUUCUGACUUUCCUUCAGUAAGGGACGUGCACCUCUGCACUGCAUCCACUGUUACUCAGAGAACUGAGCUGUCAUUUCUAGGUAACCUGUGGUAACCCAGUAAAUCACAAUAGCUAGUUUACAGUUUAUGUUAUGUAUGAAGGUUGAUCACAUGUCCAAACUUCAUUAGACUGUCAAACUUACUGGCAGUCUGUCACUUAUUAUUUGACAUAAUUUAACUAAUAACUGAUUGAAUAGAUACAAGUUUCUUCAACAUAGCAGUAUACAUCCUGUUUUCUAUCAAACAGAACUGGUUUGUGGGUGGCCACAGCUUACAUACUUUUUAUACGGUUCAGUUUCCGUUGAGAAGUGAAACAGAUCAACUUGCUCAUCUGUAGAAUGCAAAUGGGAACGGUACAGAAGUCUGAUUUCAUUUUUGUUCUUCACGACAUAGGAAAGGAGUUGGCCUCUUCUAAGUCUGUGAAAUUACUAUAAAUGGUACAAUUCAGAGGAAAUCUCUAAUAGAUAAUUAAUACAACCAACAUGGAUUGGUGUCAAUUAUCGCUUCUUCUCAGUGGACUAACAUGGACCAGCAUAACCAGAAGGACAAACCUAGACUUCAAUCGAGUGUGUGGACAAUAAAGAUGGACGGUCUGGUGUAAUCAUCUAUGCUGAUAAAACUUUCACCAACUCUUCUCAACAAGAUGCCAAAGGGCGAGCAGCUUCUGGCCAUAUACAAGGCCCGUACAGGUACGCAGACAUAAUUUAACCAUGUAAAGCCUGACACAUCAAAAAUUGCCAGAACAAAAAUUUACGA